AGGCUAUGUGUGCAGGGGGUUAAUCUUUUCUAACCUUGGAUGUACAGCAUGUGGCUUCUCGCUGUGUAUGUGAGAUUUUUUGCACCACUAGGUGGAGCUCUUCCCUUUCCUCAGGAGCUUUCCCUCACUCUCUGCUCUCUUCCCUCCCUGUGGAUGUGACUGCCAGUUUUCUGACUAAGGCAGCAAAUGGAUCAGCGGCAGAAUAACAAAAGGAUGGAUAUGAUCCCUCGAUAUCCCCUCUUUCUCCAACUCUAGACUCCUUUCCAACUGGCACCAGCAUGUGUCUCAUAUCUGGCAUGAGUCUCUGCUCCGAUUUAGCUGGAUUACACUUACACCUGGUGUUAAAAUGCAUCUCCAGCAUACACGCUUAAAUUGGAUUUCUCUUCCCCCACCAAAGCCCCAACAGAUUGCUGCACACAUCUGUUGUCAUUUUCCCUUUUUAUACUGACAGUGAUGCAGAAAUGAUGAGUUCAAACCAUGAGCUACAGUUUACAAGCCUUCUCUGCUCCAGAUCAAGUUCAGUGGCAGGUGGAACUGUUCUGGCACAGCUCUCCAUAACUGUGUAACAGUUGCAUCAGGAACAAAGAGUGUGUGUGAUUGUAGAUCGUACAAAAAAAUUCACAUCAGACAUUUUAGGCAAAGCACUGGUGUAAUUGAUAGCAUUGACAAUGUAAGCAUCCUGUUUAGAUUAGCCGUUGCAGGAUUCUUGUGUGAGUCUGGGUCACUGACAUCGAACUGAACCACUAAAAAUGAAAUUCGCACCGCUUGUUCAUUUCCUGUUGUGAUGAGUCAUAAUAGCUGUAAAUAAAUGAAUAAAAUUAUGAAUUGAC